UUCAGAAUUCAAGCACCCUAUUUUCUUCUUACAAGACCGCAAACCUCCAUGGAGAAGAAUCCAUUAACUAGCUCACAAUUUCUUUCUUCUCAUGCACAUACUCAGCUGAACCCCAAACAGCAACCUUGCAUGUUCUUUCUUUCCCAUCCUUUUUCCACAAGUCGCACAUCAUUAGGAGGGAGCAUGAAAACAUAAGCACACAUCCUUCAUUCCUCUCCCAUGGUGCGCACGACCGAACAACUAGGAGGACCUGAACUCAGCCUCUUGAAGAGCAGAAGGGUGAGGGAAACCACACCUCACUUGGUGAGCGCCUUCCUCUAGCGGAUUUGGGAGUCUUGUGCACAUGCAAGAAGCCGUACAACUCUUGACCUUUGGGUGCAUGCAAGCGAAUUAGAUUUUUGAGCUUGGAAGGUGCCCAAGUCUCUAAUAAAAAAGGGCUGACUUGGUGAGAUUUUGGUUGGAACUCUAAAUUAUCAAGAGGACGUAGAAGUAUUUGAUGACGUGAUUACAUGGAAAUAUUCUGUUUAAGUUCUGCUGUUUGAAAACCCUGCUGCUUGUUCACUGUUUCUGAUUGGUUGUGUACUGGACAUUUGACCUUGAUGAAGUAUUUUGGAGAUUGGCAUGUUAUGAUUCGUAUUCUGUUUUGAAACGUGUUGUAGACUGAUUUUUAUAUUUCGUCUGAAACUUAUGUGAUUCUGGUAUUUAAAUUGUCAAAACAAUUUCUGCUGUAUUUAAAUUCGGAUUUUUGAACUGAUUUAGCGAGCACAUUGCGAGU